UACGGGGGGUGCGAGCGUUAAUCGGAAUAACUGGGCGUAAAGGGCGCGCAGGCGGUCUUUCAAGAGAGAUGUGAAAUCCCCGGGCUUAACCUGGGAACUGCCUUUGAUACUGCGAGGCUAGAGUACGUUAGGGGGGGGUAGAAUUCCGCGUGUAGCGGUGAAAUGCGUAGAGAUGUGGAGGAAGACCGAAGGCGAAGGCAGCCCCCUGGGAAUGUACUGACGCUCAUGUGCGAAAGCGUGGGGAGCAACCAGG
rnacentral:rRNA from 1 species